rnacentral:rRNA from 1 species
UGAACGCUGGCGGCAGCCUAACACAUGCAAGUCGAGCGGAUGAAGGGAGCUUGCUCCUGAUUCAGCGGCGGACGGGUGAGUAAUGCCUAGGAAUCUGCUGGUAGUGGGGGACAACGUCUCGAAAGGGACGCUAAUACCGCAUACGUCUACGGGAGAAAGCAGGGGACCUUCGGGCCUUGCGCUAUCAGAUGAGCUAGGUCGGAUUAGCUAGUUGGUGAGGUAAUGGCUCACCAAGGCGACGAUCCGUAACUGGUCUGAGAGGACGAUCAGCCACACUGGGACUGAGACACGGCCCAGACUCCUACGGGAGGCAGCAGUAGGGAAUCUUGCGCAAUGGGCGAAAGCCUGACGCAGCGACGCCGCGUGAGGGAAGAAGGCCUUCGGGUUGUAAACCUCUUUCAGGGGGGACGAAGCCACUCGGGUUAAUAGCCUAGAGGGUGACGGUACCUCCAGAAGAAGCCCCGGCUAACUACGUGCCAGCAGCCGCGGUAAUACGUAGGGGGCAAGCGUUGUCCGGAUUUAUUGGGCGUAAAGAGCUCGUAGGCGGUUUGU